rnacentral:rRNA from 1 species
GACGAACGCUGGCGGCGUGCUUAACACAUGCAAGUCGAGCGGUAAGGCCCUUUCGGGGGUACGACGAGCGGCGAACGGGUGAGUAACACGUGGGUGACCUGCCCUCAGCUCUGGGAUAAGCCUGGGAAACUGGGUCUAAUACCGGAUAUGACUCCAUGGCGCAUGUUGUGGGGUGGAAAGCCUUGUGCGGCUGAGGAUGGGCCCGCGGCCUAUCAGCUUGUUGGUGGGGUGAUGGCCUACCAAGGCGACGACGGGUAGCCGGCCUGAGAGGGCGACCGGCCACACUGGGACUGAGACACGGCCCAGACUCCUACGGGAGGCAGCAGUGGGGAAUCUUGCGCAAUGGGCGAAAGCCUGACGCAGCGACGCCGCGUGAGGGAUGACGGCCU